rnacentral:misc_RNA from 1 species
AUUUUAUUUUUAUGUUUUUUAAAUAUUGGUGUUUUUGAAUGUGUUGUUUAAAUAACAUAAAAAAUAAAAUAUAUAUUGACAUGUAUUAAACAAAGAUAUAUAUUAUUUUAUGUUGUAUAAAUAAAUUGGCAAAAUAGAGAUGGAAGAUAAAAAUAUGGUCAAAGUAAUAA